AUACGGGAGGCAGCAGUGGGGAAUAUUGGGCAAUGGGCGAAAGCCUGACCCAGCGAUGCCGCGUGAGGGAUGAAGGCCUUCGGGUUGUAAACCUCUGUCAGGAGGGACGAUGGGACACUUGUGUCUUGACGGUACCUCCAGAGGAAGCCCCGGCUAACUCCGUGCCAGCAGCCGCGGUAAUACGGAGGGGGCAAGCGUUGCUCGGAAUUACUGGGCGUGAAGGGUCCGCAGGCUGUCAGGCAAGUUGGUUGUGAAAGCUCAAGGCUUAACCUUGGAAUUGCAUCCAAAACUGCCUGACUAGAGUCCAAGAGAGGUUGGCGGAAUUCCCGGUGUAGCGGUGAAAUGCAUAGAUAUCGGGAGGAACACCAGAGGCGAAGGCGGCCAACUGGCUUGGAACUGACGCUCAGGGACGAAAGCGUGGGUAGCAAACCGGAUUAGAUACCCGGGUAGUCCACGCCCUAAACGAUGGAUGCUAGGUAGGGGGAAUUU
rnacentral:rRNA from 1 species